AAUCAAAGGAGAAGAGAGAAAGACGA
rnacentral:sRNA from 1 species